GAUGAACGCUGGCGGCGUGCUUAACACAUGCAAGUCGAACGAAGCACUUUAUUUGAUUUCCUUCGGGACUGAUUAUUUUGUGACUGAGUGGCGGACGGGUGAGUAACGCGUGGGUAACCUGCCUUGUACAGGGGGAUAACAGUUGGAAACGGCUGCUAAUACCGCAUAAGCGCACGGCAUCGCAUGAUGCAGUGUGAAAAACUCCGGUGGUAUAAGAUGGACCCGCGUUGGAUUAGCUAGUUGGUGAGGUAACGGCCCACCAAGGCGACGAUCCAUAGCCGACCUGAGAGGGUGACCGGCCACAUUGGGACUGAGACACGGCCCUAACUCCUACGGGAGGCAGCAGUGGGGAAUAUUGCACAAUGGGCGAAAGCCUGAUGCAGCGACGCCGCGUGAGCGAAGAAGUAUUUCGGUAUGUAAAGCUCUAUCAGCAGGGAAGAUAAUGACGGUACCUGACUAAGAAGCACCGGCUAAAUACGUG
rnacentral:rRNA from 1 species